rnacentral:rRNA from 1 species
GAGAGGACCGGAGUGGACGAACCGCUAGUGUACCUGUUGUGUGGUCGCAUGCAUCGCAGGGUAGCUAUGUUCGGAAGUGAUAAGCCGCUGAACGCAUCUAAGCGCGAAGCACGCUCCAAGAUAAGUAUUCCCUAUGAGUCUCCCGGAAGACGACCGGGUAGAUAGGUGGCAGGUGUACGCAUGGCAACAUGUUUAGCCGAGCCAUACUAAUUAGACCAUUGGCUUUGUUUAUA